CCAAUAUCCAGCUCAUUGUUUUUGUCUCCGAAUGGCAAAAACAUCAUUACAAAUUACAAUAUAACAAUCCACGCUGGUCUAGUCUGGACUGAGGGCCUUUUUUGAUAUCGAUCACAUGAGUGAUAAAAAAAACGCCGCACAGUGGAUCAGCAACCAAUCGCACAUCCUCACCGAUCAUUUUGAUGACAAGUCAAAGAAACAUGCAAUGUCGAUAAAUUCUAAAACCAUAGCCCGGUCGCUGGCUGUUGAAAAAUUAAUCGACGCGAAGACGAAUUUGAGAAACAGAAAUGCUAGGGGAUGGCAGAGAGACUCCUUCCAGUUGGGCACCUAAGGUAAAGAAGCAGCAUACAAUCGUGCCUUAGCUUGAUUUUGCUUGAGGGAAAGUUGUUGGUUGUUCGUGGCCUUCUGCCCACAGCACGCUCAAGUAUAUGUUGGAUAAUUUAGCCAGUGAAAGUUCAGCGGAUGUGGAUUGGAGGCACUCGUUUUACUUGAAUUUGAUUGCACAUUCAUCAUACACAGCAACUGUGGCAAUUUGCAGUCAACAAGUCCUUCGAAAUCAUCAAGCCGGUUAAGAUACACAGUUGUCUCCUAUAUAUAAGCUUGCAGAGGUAUUAGACAUUUUACGACCCCGCUGGGAUCAACCACAGGGCAACGAAGAGGGAGAGUAAUCGAAACCCUUGUUUCAAGAGGGCCAGUAAUUCUAUUUUCCCAUUUAAUUCUUAUAUUUCUCUCUCUAUCUCCCCCACCUCCUCUUCAACAGCUGGCAAGUCUUGAUUUGGGAGUCUUCUUGGUCAAUCCCCUGGGAAAACAGACAGACUCCACAUGAAAGGUCCAGGAGGACAGGGGGAAGUUGAAGUAGCUGUUUCUGGUGUUGCAGAUCAAAGCCAGCACGAUGUUGGCCCCUUUUCACCUGUUACUUCAAAGAACGGAUUUGGGAUUGGCUCAGUUUUUUGAAAAGCAGCAUCUGUGGCAUCUGUGGCAGCAAAGCAUGGUCUUCUGAUGACGAGAUUUUGCCCCUCAAAUGCUGCUUAAUGUCCAUAUCAUUGCCCUGGGAAUAUAUCGUUUAUGAUCUUUUAUUCAAGGAUAUGAACAUUAUCUUUCCAUGUUCAUUCUUCUGUUGGGGGCUGGUACUGAUUUCCUCACAUGUACAAAAAGAGUGCUAAUACAUUUAAUAAUUGCAAUAUCAGGGAAGUCCUCUAAAUAUACUACAUUAUCAUUUGUGAAAAUUUACAAGGGACCAAGUGAUCGCCUACAAGUGGAAAUUAAGUGUGGGAUUAACAACUUUCGGAUGAUAAGCUUUAGUGGAACUUGUAAUUUAAGUUGUGGAUGAAAAUUCCCUUAUGGUUAAGUAGUGUUAUAGGGCUGUAUUGUGAUGUUGUGAUAAUCAAUCACGUACGAAACUAAUGUAAGCGGCGCCAGUUGAUGAUUUCCACUCUCGAACUUCAAUAGGCGUCCUUUUCAUUUAAAGCAGCCGAAUGUUUGACAUUUCAGCAGCGCAUUGGAUCAUUUGCCGGAUCAACUUUGAACCUCAGCAAUUCUUUUGUUGGAUGAAAUCUGAUGUCAGAAUCAUGUUGUCUAUGUGUCGUUUGCAUAUUAAAAUCCAUUCCUACCAGGUUCAAUGUAUAGUUCUGUAAGUUUCAUUUUUAACCAUUUCCCACCCCCACACUCCUUUUUGCGGGCUGCCGUGGCUAAGAAAAAUUUCAGCCAUGCUUUCUUUUCGCCAGGUAAAGAAAGAAAAGCUCCGCAGGUAGUUAUCAGGAUUUGAGGAUUUAAAUGUAAACUUGUUUGUGCGGGGAUGCUGCGACCAAUUAGCAUACCGGAUGCUAAUAAAGGCAAGAACUGGACGAUUCCCUUCGGCCUAUCCUCAUUAGUAGUUGGAUCUUUUCUGCCUAUGUCCAAGACUUUCCAAGACGCCCUUUUCCGUGUAGCUUAAGGUUUCUCCUUUUAUUAGCUGACGGGAGACUGUUGGUUCAUUCUUUUGCUUAUCUGAGGUGCUUUAUUCCAAUUCCUUGGUGUAUAAGCUUUGUCCCUUCCAUUGAAUGGUAUUCAAUAUUCUUCCUGCGAAACGGAUGCAGCUAAAGAAUUCGCCAAAAUAGUACGCAACUUUGUGUUAUUUGUUGUGUUCUCAUUUACGAGUCAAUGUCAUAUUGCUACGAUGCCU